GGCAAGGUGGCCGAGUGGUUAUGGCGGCAGUUUUAGGUGCCCUAUCAGGUAUAUGAUACACUGUUUCGAAAGAGCGUGGGUUCGAAUCCCACCCUUGUCA